rnacentral:lncRNA from 10 species
UGCAGCUAUUGUAAAAUGGGUUGAGUUCUUGAUUUGAUUCUGAGCUUGGUCGCUGUUGGUGUAUAGCAGUGCUACCAAUUUGUGUACAUUGAUUUUGUAUCCUGAAACUUUACUUAAUUUGUUUAUCAGGUCUAGGAGCUUUUUGGAUGAGUCUUUAGGGUUUUCUAGGUAUAUGAUCAUAUCAUCAGCAAAAAGUGACAGAUUGACUUCCUCUUUGCUGAUUUGGAUGCCUUUAUUUCUUUCUCUUUUCUGAUUGCUCUGGCUAGGACUUCCCAUCCUCUGUAGAAUAGAAGUGGUGAGAGUGGGCAUCCUUGUCUUCCUCCAGUUCUCAGGGGAAAUACUUUCAACUUUUCCCCAAUCAGUAUAACAUGGCUAUACGUUUGUCAUAGAUGACUUUUAUUACCUUAAGGUAUGUCCCUUCUAUGUCAGUUUUGCUGUGGGUUUUAAUCAUAAAGGAAUGCUGGAUUUUGUCAAAUGCUUUUUAUUUUUCUGUUGAGAUGAUCUUACGAUUUUUGUUUUUAAUUGUGUUUAUGUGAUGUAUCACAUUUAUUGACUUGCAGAUGUUAAACCAUCCCUGCAUCCCUGGUAUGAAACCCACUUGAUCAUGGUGGAUUAUCUUUUUGAUAUGCUGUUGGAUUUGGUUAGCUUGUAUUUUGUUGAGAAUUUUUGCAUCUAUGUUUGUCAGGAAUAUCGGUCUGUAGUUUUUUGGUUGUUGUUGUUAUGUUCUUUUCUGGUUUUGGUAUUAGCGUGAUACUGGCUUCAUAGAAUGAUUCAGGGAGGCUUUCCUCUUUCUCUGGCUUUUGGAAUAGUUUCAAUAGGAUUUGUACCAAUUCUUCUUUAAAUGUCUGAUGGAAAUCAGCUGUGAUUCCAUCUGUUCCUGGACUUUUUUUUUUGUUGUUGGCAAUGUUUUUUUGUAACCAUUUUAAUCUUGCUGCUUGUUGUUUGUCUGUUCAGAGUAUUUCUUCCUGGUUUAAUCUUGGAGGUUUGCAUAUUUCCAGGAAUUUAUCCAUCUCCUCUAGGUUUUCUAGUUUGUGUGUGUAAAGGUAUUCAUAGAAGACUUGAAUGAUCUUUUGUAUUUCUGUGUUAUUGGAUUUAAUAUAUCCCGUUAUGUUUCUGGUUGAGCUUAUUUGGAUCUCCUCCCAUUUUUUCUUGGUUAUUCUUGCUAAUGGUCUAUCAAUUUUGUUUAUAUUUUCAAAGAAUCAGCUUUUUGUUUUAUUUAUCUUUUGUAUUUUUUUGUUUCAAUUUCAUUUAGUUCUGCUCUGAUCUUUGUUAUUUCUUUUUUUUUUUUUUUUUUCUGCUGGGUUUGGGUUUGGUUUGAUCUUAUUUCUCUGGUUCCUUGAAGUGUGACCUUAGACUAUCUAUAUGUGUUCUUUCAGACUUUUUGAUGUAGGCAUUUAAUGCUAUGAACCUUCCUUUUAACAUCGCUUUUGCUGUAUCACAGAAGUUUUCAUAGGUUGUGUUAUUGCUAUCAUUCAGUUCAAGUAAUUUUGAAAUUUCCAUUAUAAUUUCAUUGUUUACCAAAAUAUAAUUCAGGAGCAGAUUAUUUUAUUUCAAUGUAUUUGCAUGGUUUGAGGAUUCCUUUUGGAGUUGAUUUUUAAUUUUAUUCCACUGUGGUCUGAGAGCAUAUUAAUAUAAUUUUGAUUUUCUUAAAUUUAUUGAGGCUUGUUUUGUGCCUAUCAUAUGAUCUACCUUGGAGAAUGUUCCAUGUGCUGAUGAAUAGAACAUAUAUUCUGCAGUUGUUUGGUAGAAUGUUCUGAAUAUAUCUGCUAAGUCCAUUUGUUCUAGGGCAUAGUUUAAGUCCAUUGUCUGACUUGUUUUUGAUGACCUGUCUAGUGCUGUCAGUGGAGUAUUGAAGUCACCCACUAUUAUUGUGUUGCCUCUUAUCUCAUUUCUUAAUUCUAGGAGUAAUUGUUUUGUAAAUUUAAAGCUCCAGUUUUAGGUGCAUAUGUAUUGAGGAUUGUAAUAUUUUCCUGUUGGACUAGUCCUUUUAUUAUUCUAUAAUGUCCCUCUUUGUCUUUUUAAAUUGUUGUUGCUUUAAAGUUGGUUUUGUCUGAUAAACGAAUAGCUACUUCUGCUUGUUUUUGGUGUCCAUUUGCAUGGAAUAUCUUUUUCCAUCCAUUUACCUUACAUUUAUAUGGGUCUGUAUGUGUUAGGUGAGUCUCUUGAAGACGCAGAUACUUGACUGGUGAAUUCUUAUCCAUUCUGUCAUUUUGUAUCUUUUAAGUGGAGCAUUUAGGCCUUUUACAUUCGAUGUUAUUAUUGAGAUGUGAGGUACUGUUCUAUUCAUCCUGCUAGUUGUUGCCUGACUACCUUGUUUUUUUUUUUGUUUGUUUGUUUUUGUUUGUUUUUUAUUGCUGGUGAGCUUGUGUGAUCAUUUGGGGUGUCAAUGAAUCUUGCUUUGUCAUAUCAUCAGAAUUGUUUUUCUGGUUCCUUCUCAUUUGGGUAGACUAUUUCAGAGGAAAGAUCUGGGACUCAAGGGCUGCUAAUCUGAUUUUUUUUUCCUAUGGGGUGAUCCCUUGAUGUGGUGUUCUUUUUCUUCCCCUAGAAAUGGAGCUUCCUGAGAAUAAAACUGCAGUGAUUGUUAUUGUUCUUCUGUGUCUAGUCCCCCAGUGGAGCUACUGGGCUCUGGGCUGGUAUUGGGGAGUGUCUGCAAAGAUUUCUGUGAUGUGAUCCUGUGAAGACCUGUCUUCAGGUCUCUCAGCUGUGGAUGCCAGUACCUGCCCCAGUGGAGGUAGCAGGGAAGCAAAGUGGACUCUGUGAGAGUGCUGGUUGUAGUUUGUUUAGUGUGCAGAUUUUCUCGAAUGCUGGUUUGCUAGCAGUGAAGCUGUCAUGUGGACAGACUCAGGACCUCUGGUUAGCCAGGGUGUUACAGGUGGUGUUUUCUCCUUUCUUGGAGUAGGAUUGUUCUAAGUUGCUGUAAUGGCUUGAGUUGGUUGACUUCCAGCCAGGAGGUGGCACUUUUAAGAGAGCAUCAGCUGCGGUAGUAGAAGGGGGAUACAGGCUUGCCCUAAGUUGGCCAGGGUAAAUAUUCAGUCGUCUCAGGUAAUAGGUGAGGCCAUAGAGCUCCCACAAGUUUAUAUCUUUUGUCUCUGGUUACCAGGAAGGGUAGAGAAAACCAUCAGGUGGGGGCAGGGUUAGGCAGGUCUCAGCCUAGACUCUCCUUGGGCUUGCAGUGGCCACUUUGAGGGAUAUGGGGUGUGUCUCAGGCCAAUGGAGUUAUGUUCCAUGGGAGAUUAUGGCUGCCUCUGCUGCUUCCUACAGGUUGCCAGGUAAGUGGUGGAAAGCCAUCAGUGACAGGCCUUACCCAGCUCCCAUGAAACCAGCAAGGCCAGUCUCAUUCCUGCCAUACUCCCCCAGCAGCCAACAGUGCCCAAUUUAUACCCAGGCCUCUGGUGCACAGGGCUGAGAUCCUGCCCCAGGCUACAAGACUCCCUGCUGAGAGAGCAAGCAUGGCUUUCAGUCCUCACCCUUCCCUUCCUGUUGCGGCUUCUGUGCUCCUAUCUGUACUUCCCGUUCCCCACACCCCAACCCCCUGGACUCUGCCCAGGAAAAUUUGUCGUCUUUGGAAAUUAUUACAAAGUUCAGCUGGAAGUCUCCUUCUCCCUGUGGACCUUCCCCAAUUCCACUGGCUGCCCUCCUCAAGGACCCCUGUGAGAUAAAUUCAGAAAUGGCUAUCCUUGGCUUCCCUGGGGAACAAGAGUGCCUGCAGUUCUUUUCCCACUUCUUUUACUUUUCUAUUUCACUGGGCUCUCUAAAUUCAUUUCAGCUCUAGGGAUUUGGAAAGGAUUCCGUGAUGGUUAAUAUUGAGUGUCAACUUGAUUGGAUUGAAGGAUGCAAAGUAUUGUUCCUGGGUGUGUCUGUGAGGGUGUCACCAAAGGAGAUGAACAUUUGAAUCAGUGAGCUGGGAGACACAAACCCAUACUCAAUCUUGGGGGACACCAUCUAAUCAGCUGCCAGUGCAACUAGGAUAAAAUCAGGCAGAGAAAUUUGGAAAGACUAGACUGGCUGAGUCUUCUGGCCUUCAUCUUUCUCCCAUGCUAGAUGCUUCCUGACCUCGAAUAUCAGACUCCAAGUUCUUUAGCUUUUGGACUCUUGGACCUUUGGCCACAGACGGAAGGCUGCACUUUUGAAGUUUUGGGACUUGGACUGGCUUCCUUGCUCCUCAGCUUACAGAUGGCCUAUUGUGGGACUUCACCUUGUGAUUGUGAUUUCAAACCUUCUGGGUUUCUUCCCAGCGCUAAAUCCUGUCGACUGGAUUCACUAGGAUGAAUAGAGAAAGAAGUGUUACAUUUUAAGAUAAUUUCUUUUCUAAACACACAGAAAGUUUUGAAACCAAUGGAGAGAUCAACACAAGCUUUGGAGAGGAGAUCAAAAUAUCUGCUUCACUGGAAGGAGUUUUGGAUUGCUCAACAAGAUCGUGGUCACCAGAUGGCUGUUGCCCUUCCAGGCUUCCAGCUCCUGUGUUCCAGACUGAAGAAGAGGAACAGAAAAAGGUGCUACUUGAAGGGGCACCAAAAAAUCAUGAGCCCAGGACAGGACAGAGGUGGAACUUAUUCUCCAGGUGCUCUACUUUGAAGUCAAGGACAUCUUACCAUCAUCCUGGAGAGCUGGAUCCUCCCAGA